rnacentral:lncRNA from 1 species
UGGAGAAACGGUUUGGAGAAAAAAUAACCGAUGCCAAAUCGUCUCUCUCUAAGAAACCUAAUCGACCUCAUCUUCAACGUUACUUCACUUCAUCUUCCUUCCCGUAACUGUGAAUCAUCAAUCAUCAUGAUGAGAGUAUACGGAUCGCUAAGGUAAUCAAUUGUAUUGAAUUGCACCAGCAAUCGUUCUCUUCUCCUCUCUAACAAAAGCAUCCCCAUCAUGAAGAUAACUCACGGUGUUCAGAUCUAGGGUUCCGGCUCUUCCCUGUCUUCUCCGAACUCAGGUUUCUUAAAGCACCUCCAACUCUCAUCAGCUUUCAGAAAUUUCAAGAGAUUUGGUGAUGCUUUUCCUCUUCGGGUCUCGAAUUGCAACCCUGUAAAGACAAAUUACAGGAGAACAAUUGUACUGAGGAUAUUAAUAAGUGAUGAAGUGAUAUCUUGUGUGGGGAUUCAAUGAGAAUUUGGGGAUGUUUGGAUUUGGAUUUUCAACUCUUGCCCUGCUGUUUAUAACCCAAUGCCCAUAGCAAAUAAGGAUGAAGUCUGGCUUAUGCAGAUUGCUGGACAUAAGGACCUUCUAGAGGGUGAUCUUACUUAAAACAAAGAAUUAGAUUGCGAGAUUCGUCUAGCACAACCUUAAAUAUUUUUAAGCUUAUACCCUAAAGCGAGUGUGUGACCCAAACCAUCAAGGGAGGUAGCAUGACUCUUUGGGAGCUUUAGACGCUGGAGCGACUUUUGACAUGUAUCAGCAAGAGUUGAGAUGAAGUUAACUUGACUUGUUUUUACUUAACAGUGUAUCAGACUUGAAGGUGUUGUGAAAAAGUGCAGUUUCUUAUGCUCUCAACCACCAACUGAGCCUUGAUGAUUUAACUUAAAUAAUUGAUGAGGAAAAUAUAAAAGUCACAAUCGAAGCUUUCUUGAAUGCUCUUCAUGAAGUUAUUCCUGCUUUUGGUGCUUCAACAGACGAACUUGAACGUUGCAGUGGUAAGACUGCAAUGGCAGCAACUGUUGGUAUUGGUAGCGAUUUCUCCUAUGUGAAGAUUGUAAGUUCUUCUAUAUUUUAACUAUGGGACAAUUCCAUGAUAC